CCUGGAGUCGGGUUGUUUGUGAAUGCAGCCCAAAGUGGGUGGUAGACUCCAUCCAAGGCUAAAUACU
rnacentral:ncRNA from 1 species